rnacentral:rRNA from 1 species
GUGAACCUGCGGAAGGAUCAUUGUUGAGAGAGCAUGGAAUGACGGAUGGUUGUGAAUGUGUGAACGUGCCCCUUUCCUUGCCCCAUGUUGGUGGGUGAUUGAUCGUAGCUCGGUGCGAUCUGCACCAAGGACAAGCGAAUUCGGAAGCAGAGGGCCUCUUGGCGUCUGCGGGGGGUGCCCAAUGCGUCGGAGAUUCCUCAGAAUCAAAUAUGACUCUCGGCAAUGGAUAUCUCGGCUCUUGCAUCGAUGAAGAACGUAGUGAAAUGCGAUACUUGGUGUGAAUUGCAGAAUCUCGUGAACCAUUGAGUCUUUGAACGCAAGUUGUGCCCGAGGCUUUGUGGCCGAGGGCACGCCUGCUUGGGCGUCAUGGCAUCGUCGCUUUUGCUCCAUGCUUUGCUGGUGGCUAGCGCGGAAAUUGGCCCCGUGUGCCCUUGGGCACAGUCGGUUGAAGAGUGGGUAGUCAGCAGUCGUUGGGCAUGAUGGUUGUUGGUCGUCGUGAGCGGGAAAUGAACGUCGUCCCUGUCGCGUUGGGAUGAGCCCUCAAGGGACCCUGUGUGAUUUGCGGCGUCGGGUGAAAGUGCCGUGUCCAUCAAAUCGUGGCCCCAAGUC